rnacentral:rRNA from 1 species
GACGUAGGGGGCCAGCGUUGUUCGGAAUUACUGGGUGUAAAGGAUCAGUAGGCGGUGCGGCAAGUCGGGAGUGAAAUCUCUGGGCUUAACCCAGAGGCUGCUUCCGAAACUGCUGUGCUUGAGUGUGGGAGAGGCGCGUGGAAUUGCAGGUGUAGCGGUGAAAUGCGUAGAUAUCUGCAGGAACACCCGUGGCGAAAGCGGCGCGCUGGACCACAACUGACGCUGAAUGACGAAAGCUAGGGGAGCAAACAGG